UACGUAGGCAGCGAGCGUUGUUCGGAGUUACUGGGCGUAAAGGGUGUGUAGGCGGUUCUUUAAGUUUUGUGUGAAAUCUCCCGGCUCAACCGGGAGGGUGCGCCGAAUACUGAGGGACUAAAGUGCGGGAGAGGAAAGUGGAAUUCCUGGUGUAGCGGUGAAAUGCGUAGAUAUCAGGAGGAACACCGGUGGUGUAGACGGCUUUCUGGACCGUAACUGACGCUGAGACACGAAAGCGUGGGUAGCAAACAGG
rnacentral:rRNA from 1 species